rnacentral:rRNA from 1 species
UACGAGAGGCCCAAACGUUAUUCGGAUUUACUGGGCUUAAAGAGUUCGUAGGCGGUCCGUCAAGUGGGGUGUGAAAUCCCUCGGCUCAACCGAGGAAUUGCGCUCCAAACUGUCGGACUCGAGGGAGAUAGAGGUGAGCGGAACUGAUGGUGGAGCGGUGAAAUGCGUUGAUAUCAUCAGGAACACCAGAGGCGAAGGCGGCUCACUGGGUCUUUUCUGACGCUGAGGAACGAAAGCUAGGGGAGCAAACGGG